AGUGGCGGACGGGUGAGUAACACGUAAGAAUUUGCCUUUAGGAGGGGGACAACAACUAGAAAUGGUUGCUAAUACCCCAUAUGCUUUCGAGUGAAAUGGAUUUUUCCGCCUAGAGAGAAGCUUGCGGCUGAUUAGCUUGUUGGUGAGGUAAUGGCUCACCAAGGCGACGAUCAGUAUCUGGUUUGAGAGGACGAUCAGACACACUGGAACUGAGACACGGUCCAGACUCCUACGGGAGGCAGCAGUGGGGAAUUUUCCGCAAUGGGCGAAAGCCUGACGGAGCAAUACCGCGUGAGGGAUGACGGCCUAUGGGUUGUAAACCCCUUUUUUCAGGGAGGAAUCAAUGACGUGUACCUGAAGAAUAAGCAUCGGCUAACUCCGUGCCAGCAGCCGCGGUAAGACGGGGGAUGCAAGUGUUAUCCGGAAUCACUGGGCGUAAAGCGUCUGUAGGUGGUCCAAUAAGUCAACUGUUAAAUCUUGAGGCUCAACCUCAAAAUCGCAGUCGAAACUAUUAGACUAGAGUAUAGUAGGGGUAAAGGGAAUUUCCAGUGGAGCGGUGAAAUGCGUAGAGAUUGGAAAGAACACCGAUGGCGAAGGCACUUUACUGGGCUAUUACUAACACUCAGAGACGAAAGCUAGGGUAGCAAAUGGGAUUAGAUACCCCAGUAGUCCUAGCCGUAAACAAUGGAUACUAGAUGUU
rnacentral:rRNA from 1 species